rnacentral:tRNA from 1 species
GCCGAAGUGGCGGAAUUGGCAGACGCGCACGUUUGAGGGGCGUGUGGGGCAACCCGUGGGGGUUCAAAUCCCCCCUUCGGCACCA